AAUUUUAAGGUCAAGCUACAAAGGGCGCAUGGUGAAUGCCUUGGCACUAGGAGCCGAAGAAGGACGCGAUAAGCUGCGAUAAGCCUUGGGUAGCCGCAAAUAGGCUGAGAUCCAGGGAUUUCCGAAUGAGGAAACUCACAUGGGUAACCCCAUGUAUCAUGCACUGAAUACAUAGGUGUAUGAGGGUAAACCCGGGGAACUGAAACAUCUAAGUACCCGGAGGAAGAGAAAGAAAAAUCGAUUUCCUAAGUAGCGGCGAGCGAACGGGAAAGAGCCCAAACCAGAAACUUGUUUCUGGGGUUGCGGAUAGAUCAUAAAAGAAGAGGUAUCUUAAUCGAAGAGGGCUGGAACGCCCUACCAUAGAAGGUAAUAGUCCUGUAGAUAAAAAGAGAAAACUUCGAGAUCUAAUCCAGAGUACCACGAGACACGUGAAACCUUGUGGGAAGCAGGGAGGACCACCUCCCAAGGCUAAAUACUACCUAGUGACCGAUAGUGAAGCAGUACCGUGAGGGAAAGGUGAAAAGAAC
rnacentral:rRNA from 1 species